rnacentral:lncRNA from 1 species
CCCAUCCUGUUCAUUCCCUAAAUCUCGUUUGUUUGCCUCAGUCUCUUCCUCGGACCUCUCUCUUUUCCCCACCAAUUCAUUCAUUCAUUUUUUUCUUCAACAAAUCACCCUCGUCACCACAGAUUCAUCUCUAAAUUUUUAACUUUUGCUUGCUAAUUCUAUCCUUCUCUUUAUUCUGAAAUUUUUGUUCAAUAGUGAAAGGAAAAUUUGAAGCAUCAACGGUUUGAAUCGGGAGAUCGGUGGAGAUUGUUUCCCCUUCAUUUCCUUAAGAAGGUAAAAGAAAAUUUAUUUUUUGGGUUUUUACAUAUACUGCAACAAAGGACCAUCUAAAAUUUGUAUCUAAAAUCUCAAGAUCAUUUUUUUUUUUUUUUUUUUUUUUUUUUUGAGUUUGAGUUUGAUUAUAUGAUUUAUUUGGUGUUUUAAUGGUGUAUAGGAUAUGUCAAAUUUUGUAAAAAUUAUUUUGCUAUUUAUAUAGGUGUGAUGAAGGUGAGUUUGCUGGUUUCAUCUAUUUUGCCAGUUCUGUUGUUACUUCGUUCCUGUGAUUUUUGACUUUAACUUGUGUUUUCCUUCUCGUAAUAAUAUUUUGAAAAGAAUUCUAUAUUAAUUUUGCAUUCCUUUCAAUGGCUUUAGAGUAAGCUAUUAAUUUAUUUUGUUUGGAUUUCAUAGAAAUAAGUUGUAAUGUUUUUUGUAGAUUUCCUAUUUCCAUAAAUUACGAAGCUUUUUGAGAUUUUAUUUUCCUAUUUUACCUACAAAUUUACUAUGUUAAUUUGUAGACUUCCCACUUUCUUGACAAAUUUGGAAAAUAAGAAUUUCAUAGCCUGAAUGGCCUUGUGACUUGUUCAUAUAACAUAACGGUUCAAAGGCUAUUAAAGGAAAUUUGAAUCCUAAUUUUUUGAGAAUUUUGCAAUAUAGGUACUGAGUCAUGUUUUCCUGACAAUUUCUUGAUUCAAAGGCUUUGGGAAGAAUUGUGCCCUAGUAAGUCAUGUUUUCUCUAUUGCUUUUCAUCUUGGAAAAUCCCCCCAUGUUUGAUAGGUUCCCAAAUGCAUAAAAAACUUUAAAACAGUAAAAUAGAUGGCUGUUUCAAUUACAAUUUAGGAAUAAUCUUCGAUCAAUUAUACAUAUGUUUGAUUUUGGAGCCAUCAUAAUUUCUGAUUUUAAGUGGCAUUCGACACAAAUAUUGUUGACAUAGCUUUGUCCAACAUAAAAUUUUGUAUUUGUUCUGCACAGCUUCUGCACAGCUAGAUAUUGCUGAUAAGAUACAAAUGUUUCAUUUUGAAUAUAGGUUUAUUCCUAUAUACUCCACAAAUUAUGGAUAAAGAAUGGGUGAAUCUUAACAGGCAAUUUGUACUUUGUCGUGUAAUUUAUGUACUUAAAAUUUUAUGAUUAUAUCUUAGACCAUUAUCUUUUAAAUUUGUUAGAGCUGCACAAGAGUACAUAAAAGCUUAAAUUAUUUUUUUUUUUUUUUUUUUUUUGUCAAAACAGCUCACCAUAAUUUAGGCAAUUCAGAUAAGAUGUUAUGUCCUUGUAAAGGUUGUCAAGACUUAAGCCAUCAAUAUAUAAAUAUUGUUCAUGAGCACUUGGUCAUAAGAGGAAUGGAUCCGAAGUACACAAAUUGAUUUCACCAUGGAGAAAAACUAAUUAGUAAUGUUGAUCAUACAAGUAUGAUCGAGAUAUUCAACUUGUUUGAAGUUGCACAUACAAGUGAAGAACAUAAUGAUAAAGCUUUUGAAAAGGAUUUGGAUGACGACAUUAGUUAAUUGGUGAAGGAUGCGGAAACUACUUUGUAUCUAGGAAAUAAAAAAAUACACAAAAUUGUCUUCAACUGUGACCUUAUAUAAGCUUAAAAUCGUUAGUGGUUGGUUAGAUAAUAACUUUACGAAACUUCUAAACAUAUUACAUGAUAUUUUACUUGAAGUAAUGUAAUUCUUACAUCCACACCAAGUGUAAGAAAAUUUCUUGAAACAUUUGAUUUAGCAAAGAUGGAUGAAUCAUUAACAUGGCAUUCAACUAAUCAUAAUGUUGAUCGUAAAAUGCGUCAUCCAAUGGAUUCUCCUUCUUAGGCUUUAAUUAACAACAAGUGGCCAGAGUUUGCAAAUGAUCCACGUAAUCUUAGGUUUGAGCUUGCUGCAGAUGGUCUUAAUCCAUUUAACAAUUUCAGCUCUACCUAUAGUUGUCGGCCGGUGAUGUUGGUCAUUUACAAUCUACCACCAUGGUUAUGCAUGAAAAAAGAAAAUAUCAUGUUUUCAUUAUUAAUUCCAGGGCCUAAACAGCCUAGGAAUUAUAUAUAUUUGCAACCACUUAUAGAUGACUUGAACAAAUUAUGGAAUAUUGGAGGGAAUGUGUAUGAUGCACAUACUAAUGCAGUCUUCAAUUUGAGAGCAAUACUAAUGUGGACUAUGAUUUACCUGCUCUUGAAAAUUUAGCUGCAUGUAAAGUUAAGGGUAAGGAAGGUUGUUCUAUAUGUUCAGGGAAUACUCACUCACAUUGGUUAAAAUUCAGUAGAAACUUUGCAUACAUGGGUCAUAGAAGAUUGUCACCAUCUCAUCUGUUUAGGAAAAAGAAAUGUUAGUUUAAUGGACAUGAAGAAAAGAGAAGCAAACCUAAAAUCAUGUCCAGUAGUAACAUUCUGGUUACUCUUAAAGAUUAUGUCAACAAUUUUGGGAACGCUCAAAAAUGAAAAAGACAGAUAGCUGAUGCGAGCAUGCUAACAUGGAAAAAGAGAUCAAUCUUUUUUAACUUGCCAUAUUGGGAGGUAAACUUUUGAAACUCUUAUUUAAAUUCUUUCAAUAAUUUGAAUAUAUUUUUUAUACAAAACUAAUAAAAUCUUUUUGCUUUGUUACAUUAUUAGGUGCUACUGUUAUGUCAGAAUCUGGAUGUAAUGCAUAUUGAGAAAAAUGUAUGUGAAAGCAUCCUUGGUACAAUGUUAGAUAUAAAUGGUAAAACAAAAGAUGGAUUAGAUGCCCGUGAGGAUUUACAAGAAAUGGGAAUUAGGAAUGAGUUACAUUCGAAAUACCGAGGUGGUAAAACAUACCUUCCUCCAGCUCCACAUACGUUAUCAAGGUUAGAGAAACAAACAUUUUGCAAGAGGUUUUUUAACUUGAAGUUACCCUAUGGGUAUAGUUCAAAUGUAGCCAAUUAUAUAUCAGUAGAUGAAUGCAAAAUAAUUGGCCUCAAGUUAGAUGAUGGUCAUGUCAUCAUGCAACAAGUUUCGAUUGUAGCGUUAAGAGGAAUACAUCCUAAAGGACCGAGGUAUGCAAUUUUUAGACUAUGUGCAUUCUUUAAUAGAUUACACCAACGUGUUGCUAAUAUGGACAAAAUAUCAAUACUUGAAGAUGAAGUAGUUGAAACCUUAUGCAUUCUUGAAAGAUUCUUUCCUCCUGCAUUUUAUGAUGUCAUAAUACAAUUGGAAAGAGAAGUACGAUUAUGUGGCCUAGAUCAUUAUCGUUGGAUGUAUCCUUUUGAGAAGUAAGAAAUUUACACUUAUUUGGAUAAAUUUAUACACAUAAUUUUGUUCUUAAUACAAAUUCGUUUACUUUAUUUAAUUCUAGACAUACGAAGAUAUUCAAAGGAUGUGUGAGAAAUUACGCACGACCUGAAGACUGCACCAUGGAAUGUUAUCUUGCAGAUGAGUGCAUGAAUUUUUGUAUUGAGUUUAUACAAUAAAUGAGAGAAAUGGAUCAUCGAGAGGGAUGCAAUCAAGAUUAUGUUAGCAAUGAAAUUACUGAAGGACGCCCCAUUUUUGCUCCAAAACUUGUUACAUUAAGUAAUGAAAUAUUAGAUAUAGUACAUUGUUACAUUUUAUUCGAUACAUCUUUUGUGGAACCUUAUACGGAGUAAGUCAUUCACUUUUUCUAUCAGCUAGUAUCUAAAAUAUAAAUUAAUUUGUAAUCUCGGAUUAUUUGCUCAUUUUGAGAAUAUAUAAAGAGUAGCUGAAGCGAAACAAUAGAAGUCUUCAAAAAAAAUUGAAAGCUCGCUUUUGAAAAUGCACGCAAAAAUUUUUCCAGUUUGGUUAAAUGAGAAGGUUGUACAUAAUCUCGAUAAUUUUUAGAAUGUGUAUUUUGAAUAUCAAUAUCAUUGAUAGAUGUCUAACUUUUUUGCAGAUUAAAGUAGGUUCUACUAUGAGUAAUCAGAUGUUCUACAAUGGCUUGCAUAUGGUCCUAAAAUGCAAGUAGUCUCCUACACUGGAUAUAUUAGCAAAGGGCAAUGUUCCACAUAAAAUAUGUUGAAGAAUCUACACAAAAUAGUGGUGUAUUAAUUGAAGCAACAACCAUGUGUAAAGCUAGUGCAAAGGAUAAUGCACAAGUUUCUGAUGCUGUUGCAUUUAUGGUGUUAUUAGAGAAAUAAUUUCUUUAGAUUAGCACAUAAUGAAGAUUCCAUUCUUUAAGUGUGACUGGGCAAAUCUUGGUAAUGGUGUGAAAGUGGAUGAUUGCUUUACACUUGUAAAUUUACACCAAUGUCAAAAUAAUUUUCUAAAAGAUCUUUUUAUUUUAGCGUCACAAGCCAAACAAAUGUUUUAUUCAAGAGAAAAUGAUUCUUCUAAUUGGUACAUGGUUUUGAAAGCACCACAUCGAGGUUUUCGUGAUCUAGAAAUGUAUGAUGAGAAUGAGGAAGUCAAUAUUAAAAAUAGUGUUUCAUUGAACAUUGAUUAUGUGAAGGAGGAAGUUAGCUAUUUAAGAGUGGACUGUGAGGGUACUUUAAUUUGAUUGUUGAAACUUUUAGUUUAUAAAUGGAAUCAUAUUAUGUUAAUUCUUUAGCAAUCA